UGUCUCCUGGGAUGUUUGUUUGUUCAGUUACGUCCCGAGCCGAUGCUAACAUCUAAGGGAAUUGAUUCCACUACUAUUGAGCAAGCUUGGCAUGUACCGAGAAGCCUACGGUGGUGAUGAUAUUUCCGCCCUGAACUUUACGGUUCUGGGCACAUCUGAGCGGCGGCAUUUCCCGGGAGACUU
rnacentral:other from 1 species